rnacentral:rRNA from 1 species
UCAGGAUGAACGCUGGCGGCGUGCUUAAUACAUGCAAGUCGAACGAAGCACUUAUGACAGAUCCCCUCGGGGUGAAGACGUUGUGACUGAGUGGCGGACGGGUGAGUAACGCGUGGGUAACCUGCCUAUGCAGGGGGACAACAGUUGGAAACGACUGCUAAUACCGCAUAAGCGCACGGCACCGCAUGGUGCAGUGUGAAAAGAUUUAUCGGCAUAAGAUGGACCCGCGUCUGAUUAGGUAGUUGGUGAGGUAACGGCCCACCAAGCCGACGAUCAGUAGCCGACUUGAGAGAGUGAUCGGCCACAUUGGGACUGAGACACGGCCCAGACUCCUACGGGAGGCAGCAGUAGGGAAUAUUGCACAAUGGGGGAAACCCUGAUGCCAGCGACGCCGCGUGAGUGAUGAAGUAUUUCGGUACGUAAAGCUCUAUCAGCAGGGAAGAUAAUGACGGUACCUGACUAAGAAGCCCCGGCUAACUACGUGCCAGCCGCGGC